AUUGAACGCUGGCGGCAGGACUAACACAUGCAAGUCGAGCGAGUGGGGACGGGUGAGUAACACGUGGGUAACCUCCAAUCAGAGGGGAUAACACUUGGAAACAGGUGCUAAAACGAUACUGAUGGAUGGACCAGGGGUGCAGUAGCUAGUUGGUGAGGUAACGGCUCACCAAGGCCACGAUGCCUAGCCGACCUGAGAGGGUGAUCGGCCACACGGGGACUGAGACACGGCCCAGACUCCUACGGGAGGCGGCAGUAGGGAAUCUUCGGCAAUGGACGAAAGUCUGACCGAGCAACGCCGCGUGAGUGAAGAAGGUUUUCGGAUCGUAAAACUCUGUUGUUAGAGAAGCGGUAUCUAACCAGAAAGCCACGGCUUACUACGUGCCAGCAGCCGCGGUAAUUC
rnacentral:rRNA from 1 species